GACGAACGCUGGCGGCGUGCUUAACACAUGCAAGUCGAACGGAAAGGCCCUGCUUUUGUGGGGUUCUCGAGUGGCGAACGGGUGAGUAUCACGUGAGUAACCUGCCCUUGACUUUGGGAUAACUUCAGGGAACUGGGGCUCAUACCGGAUAGGAGCUCCUGCUGCAUGGUGGGGGUUGGAAAGUUUCGGCGGUUGGGGAUGGACUCGCGGCUUAUCAGCUUGUUGGUGGGGUAGUGGCUUACCAAGGCUUUGACGGGUAGCCGGCCUGGGAGGGUGACCGGGCACAUUGGGACUGAGAUACGGCCCAGACUCCUACGGGAGGCAGCAGUGGGGAAUAUUGCACAAUGGGCGGAAGCCUGAUGCAGCAACGCCGCGUGCGGGAUGACGGCCUUCGGGUUGUAAACCGCUUUCGCCUGUGACGAAGCGUGAGUGACGGUAAUGGGUAAAGAAGCACCGGCUAACUACGUG
rnacentral:rRNA from 1 species